rnacentral:lncRNA from 1 species
UUUUUUUUUUUUUUUUUUUUUGGGUUUUUUUUUUUUUUGGGGGGGGGGGGGGGGGUGUUGUUGAUUGGAGGAGCGCUGAUAGAACAUGGAAUUGACGAGUGUAAUAAGCGAUUAAUAAAGUGUAUGGCUAUAAAAAAAAACUCAGGCAAAGGAAGAUAGCAGACGAUCAACAAAAAUAUGUUACCCCUGACCCAUAUGAAAGUACGAGAGAGUCUAAACUCUCAUGCUUGAAAGCAAAAAAAUUCAGUACAGAAGUGUGAAAGAAGUACAAGCAAGAAGUGCCAAGAAAACAGAUUUGCUAGUUACAGAGCUUGGCAUUCUGCCGUUGUCCUUUCUAAAGAAAAGAGCAUCAAACAAAGGUAAAUUGAUUACAAUGAAAGCCCCGCAAAGAAGAAUCUGCAAAGCCAUGGUUUCCCAAAGAAAGCUGAGAGAUAAAUUGGCCUUCAGUUUCAUUAGUAUUCCUGUCAAGCAAAACAGGUUGAGCAGUGCCAAUGUCGAUAUAAUGAUAAACAUUGGUGACGUGGUUCCAAACUCCAAUAUCUCUUCCCCGUAUCUCUUGGAGGCAUCCUCAUCAGAGACUUUGCUUGAGAUGACAAAUUUCAGGUCAGAAAAGCCUAGCAACUUUAAGAUUGUAUCCACAAAGGCUAACAGGUAAGAGCUGGUUCUUUUGUAAAGCCACAUUCUCUGUUCAUUCCACCAGCCCAGAAAUGUUCCGCCUGACAAAAGAAACUCAACAGCACUGUAUAUGUGCUCCGCGAUGAUAACAUAAGCAAAUGGAAGAAACCAUACGCUUGAGACCUGGAUUCGAAAGAAACAUAUCAACCAUCGAUUGAUAUUUGAUACAAAUUAAGGAAAAAAAGGGUAAGGGGCCGGUUGACUAUAAUAGUACGUGUAAAAAUUAGAGAACUAUGUACCUGUGGAAAUAAGGGAAUGCCUUUGAGUAGAUGAAGGGAAGGGAUGAUGGAGUAAUACAAUACCGCCACGCAAUUAGGAGACCAUAAACAGUAAAUUAAGUACCCCAUUGUAAGGCCAAUGUGAAUCCUUCCCAGUCCAUACCAUGCUGGACUGUACUUUGAAAGCAGAAUUUGUAGAUCACCCUCAGACCAUCUCUUUUGCUGCACAAGUAUCUGAUCCAAUGUCGUCCCUGCAACACCCAAAAAUGCUGGCCUUUCUGGAUUAGGAUAGACUGAUUUCCAUCCUUGGCAUUGAAUGGACAAACCAGUUAUCACGUCUUCAACUGGACACCCAUACUUUAAACCCAUCUGUAUGCCAAAAUAGUUGCUAGUGUCAUAAUAAUGAAUUUGACAACACAACAAAAUUAAUAAUGUGGAUAUGUGUAAGAACAAGACCUCAUGCCCCCAUUCAGUAUUUUGCUCGUAUGUACAGCUUGCCAGGCUCUUAAGUCUUUCUUCCAGUUCAUGCACAUUGCCCAUCUUGCACUCAUUCUGUGUCUUCAAAUCAAUCUUAUAACACUUGCUGUACUUUCUUCCACUCAGGAUUUCUCUUCUCUGAAAGCAUCCACUUCCAAUAUAUGGUGGACCUCCAAAGGCAUCCAAACCGUGGAAUUCCACCUUAAUUACAGAACCAGGGUCUUUUUAAGAUAUUGAAGCAUAACAUGGACUGACUAUACUGGUCAAGUAUGACAGAGUUUAUAAGUAAAUUAUCUACCUCUAUAGUAGCUUAAGAAUUCACGCAAUGGGGUAAUGAAACAAUAGGCAAGGUUAAUGUACACAAGCAAGAACUUCUAUGUUAUUCUACUCACCUCUCUACCCGCUGUCAUUGAGUUAGCGUACAAAUCAUUCUUAGUAAUGUUCUUGAAGAUCUGUGGAAACUGGACGUAAGCAAACUCGUGGCCUUUUUCCUCAUCCAUCAAGAAACAAAGAGCAUCUCGUAUUGAUUGUGAAUCAUUUGAGUACAUAUCACAGUCCACAUUUAGGAUCACUGGUCCAUUGCUGAUCUCGGACGACACCCUUAUCUGCAUUAAGCACAAAGUGUCUAUAAAUAUCUCACACGGGAUUAAUAUUCUAAAAAUCUUUUGGGUAUCUCAUAGGAGACAUGAGGGUAAAAAAUUAGAAAACUUAUGGAGAAGGAUUUUCAAGUCUAAAAUAGUUAUUGAAACCAACCCAGCAGAAGGACCGGGUUGGCGGAUCAGUGGUUCAACUGGCAGGUCAUUGAUUGAACCGUCGGAUCAAACUAUAUAAUAAAACAAUAUACAAUAUAAUUAAAUAAACACAUAAAUUAUAAUAAAAUUACAAAAAUUCUUAAAUAUUAACAAGUCAUAACCUAUUCAUAUUUCAUAGUUCAUACACACAAGCCAUACUCAUAUGUGUUUCUUAGUUCAUGAAUUCAUAUUGAUAUUAUAUACAAACAUAAAUGAUAAAUCUAAGUGUCAAAAAAAGAAAGAAACCCUAAUUCCCAAAUCCCUUUUCAGUUUUUCUCAUCUAACUGUCAAAAAGACGACAAUGACUAUGUUGAUGUGACUGGUCAAAUUAAAUAAUUAGAUAAAAGAUAAUUUCAUAAAAAUUUUUAAAACCCGCCGGGUAUAACGGAUCACAAGUUCGAUCGUUCGCACAAAACGGUUUAAAACGAGUCAUCUGCAACCAUGAUCCAGUUGCUAAACCGGAACGGUUCCAUGAUCGGUUCACCGGUUUGAUCGGUUCAACUUCCGGGCUGGUUUAAUAACUAUAUGUCUAAUAGAUUUGAUUCGUUCAUUAAGACCAAGAAGUGUAUCAAGUAAUCGAGUUACCAAAGCAUUCAUUGCUCCAGCUUUGAAGUUGUGAAAAUGCUCGGGUCGCUUCUCCCUAGCCAAGUACACUAGUGUAGGCAAUUUACAUCCUGCAACAUCCCUUGCUUCUGGGUCGCUUCCAUUAACGAGAAUCUGAUGAAACAAAAUAAGCACCUCUCAGCCAAAUAAGAAGUAGAAAAUGUGUUGCUUUAUUGAUCUGAGUAGACUGUGUAGUCGUAUAACGUAGAACCGAGGUUGUCCUGGCUGGAAAACCAAAAAGAGGGAAAAAAAUGCAAAUGUCUCCUUUGUAAUCUGAUCAUUUUAAUUGGGACGGUUAGUAUGAGUUCUACAUACCUGCAGGAUGGUAUCAUGAUUCCCCCGAGAUGAAGAUGAAUCCCACAUAGCAAAGCCUUUGUGUUCUGAUUUAUCGGGUAUUUGUCCUAGUUUGUUUGCAAGCAGAACCUUGUUCUCCAGUUGUUCAUAUAAUUUCUGCAAUUUCAUCAGCACAAAAUAAGAAGGCUAAUUAACUGAUGAGUUCCAAAUUAAUAGUGUCAGGCAUGCUGAAGAGCAAUAUAUCGGUAAUGCAGCAUAACUGCAUGAACAGUCUCAUGGCAACCAUGAGACACAACUAGAGAUUUUUUUUUUUUUUUGGACGGGGCUUACAUCUGCAUCUUGUGUCUUAUGUUUUGUUAUCAAUUGGCUCUUUAAUAGCUAUAUCAUGUCAUCAAUAUCAUAACUAAGGGAACUAAGUUGGUUGUGAUUGAGUAUAACUUCCAUCUGGACUUCCAUAUGAUCCAAGGUACCCCUAUAUAUGAUAGGAUUAUCAUUUUUUUUUCCUGUGGUUAGAUCAUUAUAUAUGCUGUGGCUGCCUAAUACUCCAACAAUGAAAUUGAUGUGUCGAAGCUCCUAAGGAAAUAAAUAUGAGGCAGGCCUAAUUGCAUUAUUGCAGUUGAAAGUAAAUUAUAUGAGCCCUGUGGACUUGAUUUUCCAGGUAGUCAUUGUCAAUGGUUCAAGGACGAAUAUGUUUCUUACCAAAUUCAAAUCUUUUUUGGACUUCUUUCAUUAUAAAAUUUAUUAGGACAAACAAUCUUGGUAGCUAGCUCGCUUGCUUUAUAUAUUUAUGAAAAAGUUGAACUUUCUUUUCAGCAUCAAGAAAACUGCAGUAUUUCAGGAUAUAUUAUCCUCAACUUGUCCACUGCCGUACUUAAUUGACCCAAACUAAUCAAUUGAAAAUCGAUAUGAAACUUAGCUUUUCUAUUUCUAGGUGAGAGAGACAUGGUUUCAAUGCAGAGCGGCCAAAUAGUUUUCCUCAGAAGUCAGAACUAGUUUGGUGCAUUUACCUUGAUUGAUGCAAAGUCUUUGGUAUGGUUUGCAUCCAAAAUUCGGGGAUCUGAUUCAAAGUAAGCUGCAGGAGACCUUGGCUCCACCUUGUAUUUCUUGCAAUAUGGUAGCCAAUGCUUAGAGAAAUAGGAAGCCUCCAGGAGUGCAUGGAAGGUAAGCUCCGAGCCACCAUCAUCAGAGAGAUAAACGCUGAGUUUCUCUGUUGGAUAAUCAUAUGCCAUUACAGACAAAACAGUAUUGAUCACCAUGAUUGGUGGCUCAACAGCAGGAUCAGCUGUGCAAACAAAUAUGUCCACUUUAGGCAGCUCAUUCUCGAACCUGCAAAGCACAUAGAAAAAACUCUGAAAUCCCACAAGACAGAACAUUCAAGACUCUAAAUUUUAGCGGUAUGUGAUCAUUGACGAAUCGACAAUCAUAAGAGUUUGAAGAACAAUGGGAACAAGAAGCCAAACCAAAAGCAUAGAGGAAGGAGCCAUCACCUACGGGAUAGCCUGUCGGUAAAGGUACGACGAUAUACAAGACUCCAGCGGACGGAUUGAGUGAUGAACCAGUAAAGGCCAAACCAAAUUUCAGCUCCAAACAUUCCAAUCCAAGCCCAUCUCCCAUCUUCUUGGGAUCUUGGGAUGUGACUUGCUCUAUAAAUCCAAAUCAAGAUAAUCCCAACAAAUAUGGAAGUAGCAAACAGUCUAUGAACUAUCCUACCCUUCGCCUUCUCCGUCUCAAAAAGAGGAAUAUACUCACUUUUACCAGUACCGCCACUUCCCAUUUCUGUUGUUUUCAAUAUCUCUUUCUUCACUGGUUUUUCGAACUUUCAGCUCUAUAUAUGUAGCAUACAUUAAGUUUCUAAUACCGCAGUAUUGGGCAGGCCGGGAGUUUUCAAAUAUUUAAUUAAAGCGCAGAGAGCCAUUUGAAUUCUUUGCCAUUAUAUGGAACUACUAUUUAUAUUACGCAGUUUUAUAAGACAGGAACAACCGCACACAGUUGACGAAGGCUGCUGGUGGGUUCCACUCCUACUGUAGCCUACUUUAGGGGACCCAUUGCCAGCAAUUAUUGCAGUGUACGUUACGUAAUGGAAUGCGCUAUAAGAGCUUGGGCUUGGGGAUGGCUGCCGGUGCCUGCCACAUAUAAAUCACUAGUGUACACGACUGGGGAGAGAAUGAAUUUGAUUGGAUUAGGAGUUAGGACACGAGUGGAUAAAAACCUGCAUGGCCUGAGACCGAUCCUCUGUGCCACUGUUCGGUGUCAAUCUCAUUUAUCACGUGAUAGUAGAAGAAAUUUAAAUAAACAGCACAUGACAAAUUAAAUAAAUAAGAUACUUGACAUAAAUAUAGAAGUGACAUUGAAUUAUCACCGGAAAAGUGACACUGAAGAUCCCGUGUGGAGACCUGACUCCCUGAUUAAACAAAAUUGUUGGUAUGAUUUAUUGUGAAAUUAUCAGUAUCAACAGGCACAAACAAUUUUGUUAUAGGAGUACAGUAUUUUAAAUUAAGGGUUUUUAUAACGAGUGUUGAUGAGCACUCUUUCAGAUACUUGUAUGACAUUUAAAUUCCCAUAUGUAAACACACACUCCAGACUAAGUUAGGUUCCUCUCCGUUAUACCCAAAUAAAUAUAAUCAUUUUAUUAUUUUUAAAAAUUAAGAACAUCCAUAUUAUACUUCUCUAGCUGUCUAAAGUAUGUACAAAAAUUGAAAUUAAGUUAGUUAAAUUUUAUGUUGGAUCAAAUUUUACAACUUUCAUCGUAACUUUAACCUGUUUUGCCCCGUCAAAAUGUUUUGUGCAAAUUGAAAAGCAAAACAUUCAUAAAAGAAUUUGAUUUUUGAGUAUGUUGAUUUAAUUGUGGAAAUAAAAUUACUAACACAAACAGGUUAUUGUGAAAAAUUCAAUUGUAUAAAUAUAAAAAAAAAAUGUAUAUAGAUAAAUGGAGAGAAAAAUAAUGGAGCGCUUAAAUUGUGACACUUUCUCGAAUUAACUUUCUCUUAUCGGAGUGCCUUAUGGGCGCAGGUUAGCCGAACCAUAAUUUAAAUUUUGAUAAGUAUUGUUAUAAUCAAAUACUCCUAUGUAAGUUAUCCGAAGAGAAAGCAAGUGGAUCCUUUUAAUGUACUAAAUUUUAACGUUUAGACAAAGGUACAAAAACAUCAAGAUAACGAGUUUAAUUCCUAUUCUUCUUUAAAAUUUUUUGAAAACCUUUAAAAUUAUUAAGUGUGGAGUAUUUGUUCGAUUUAUUCUGAUUUGAGUAAUCUUUGAGAUUGCUGGACUCAUUUACUGCCCAAUGUCAGGACGCUGUGAUGAAUCACCUCAUGGUUACUUUGCUUCACACUAACUUAUACACAUCAUCAAAUUCGCAGGCACACAUCCUACUAUAAACUCAGUAGUGUGAAAUUUUCUGUUACCUUUUUUAUCUUUUCCUUUCUCCAUUUUCUAAACACGGAGUUUUCUACCCCUUUUUGCAAGUGUUCUUAAAAUAUCUUCUUCGAGGUUUUUAUCAGAUAAGCACUUGUUCCGGAUUCGAAUUAACGAUCUGCUUCAUAAUUCCUUCCAUCCUUAAAAACGUUUAUCCGUCGCAUAUAUUUCCGCCACAAAUUCCCUCUGCAUCCUUUUGGUAGACCUACGUUCACGACCUGUAUAUACUAUCGCUUGACAAGCCAUGAUACAAAUCGCAAAGUUGAUGACUUUUUCUCGUCUUUUUUGCUACAGCCGAUACACACGCAGUUCUUACGAUAUCACAUUUUUAUUAGAACAAAAUUUUUUAUUCUUACCAUAAUAAACCAAUGCAAGAAUUAUUUGCGUUGCACAUCACAUCAUCUGCAUUCCCCAUCUCAAAGGCCCAAACGUAUUUGGAUUAUAUCUACCACAGAGGCCCCAGUUGACUAGUCUUUGUCUAACAGAGCGUCGCAGUCCACUUUUUUUUUUUUUUUUUUUUUGUUACUUUUCAUCAUAGACUAUUGAAGUGAGGCCGAAAGUCCAACCAAUGACUUAUUCCUCAGGCUCAGGUCUCGGUAUGCAUUUUUGGAGGAUGGCGUCAUGCUCAAAAUUUUCCCGUUUCAAUGCAAAUUGCUCAACCUUGCCCCUUUCGUCAAAUCCUAACAACUGAAGUGGGGUGUUUAAACAGAGUAUUAUUUGAAAUAAUUAAUAUAAUAUUUUUUUUUAUAAUGUAACAUAUGUAAAAUAAAAAAAAUAUUAAAAAUAUAAAAUAUAUAAAUUAUAAAAUAUAUUUAUGAUGCAAACGAAAUAUUAUUUUAUAAAAUUGAGAUAUUCGAAUACAUAGUAUCCGCUAAUACACUUUAAUUCAACUAGUAAAAAUAGAUCACUACUUAACAAAACAUCAUUGGGUAAUUCCAUUUUGUCCCCUCAAACUAUACACGGAAUCUCACUUGAAUCCCUGAACUUUAAAAUUGGACAUUUAAGUCCCUAAACUACAAAAUCUAACCCACUUAAAUAAAAUCCGUGACGGAAUCCAAAAAAUUGACAGUAGCUCAAGGAUGUGGGGGGCACGCUCCAUUAGUGUGUAUGUGUAAUUGUCAUAAACCAAAAAAGUAGGGAUAUAAAGGUAUUUUCACACUUUUUUUUUCAUUUUUUCUUUUUCCUAUUCUUCUUCAUCCCUUAUCUGCCGCCACUGACAUCUCCAGUCCUAUGCUUUUGUUCAAUGGCCUCCAAGCAUUUUUCAUCUUUCAUUUACCAAUCCAAAACUGUUUCAGUCAAAUCCCACUUCAUAUUCCAAAUCUUCAACCGUAUUCUAAAAAUCGUCGAAGUCUCACAAAAAACGUGUCUAAUCUGACCACUAAAUUUCUUGUCAAAUUCACUUCCAUGAAAUUCCUUUUUGUUGAAUUCGAAUUGUUCUUGGGGCGGCUGUGAUUUCUGCGAGAUCUGCAGUAGUACUCCUAAGGGACUGGUGGUGAAGUGGAAGAUAGACUUAGCAUUUGCUAGCGUCAUCCUGCUAUUUACAAGAACCCUGCUUCAUUUCUUACCAGAAUCCCACGAAAAUGUUGUGGUCAAAGACUCCAAGAAGCAAGGUGGGUGUAACGACCCCACCUCCCCCUAAGGCGUACCAAAGGGUUCGGCGGACCGCCUGCCCAGCUCUCGCCAGGACUCACUCACUAUCUCAAUCGAGUCAUGUACACACAUCCAUAAACUAUAAAUAACAUUCACAAUUCAAGCUUAUAAUUUACAUUGAUAGAAAUCGAGGUACAAAGUCUCAAUACACCAAACUAGUUCAAAACGUAUACAAUCCAAGUACAACAUGUUCCAUUCGAGGAAUAGCGCGAGUACAAGACCAAAAGUCAAAAGUCAAAACAAAAGGCUACGCUAGUCUUUUACAAGUCUCACGCGUCACUCGUACCCCCUGUAAGGAAAACAAAUAGCGUGGUAUGAGCUAAAAGCCCAGUGAGGUUCCAAAUAGCAAAUUGACCAUUAUUUAUAAGUACAAGUUUUCGAUAUAGGAAAGUAACGAGCAUGAAGAAUUCAUAAAAGUGAGCAAUCUCAAAAUGAGCGAGUGUAAAAGUUUUCAGAAGACACUAUAAUCCAAUAAACAAUAAUCAUUCCAAAGCAUAAGGAUACAGAUGGCUCUCAGGAGCCAACUUCCAUUCAUCAUCAGGAGCUUGAUCACAUAGUAGUUGACACUCCGUCAACUUUCAAGUAAAGGAACCAAUCCAGUAGAACACCACUUACACUACUCUCCGUCCACCAUUCACACCCCCUACUGGGCCCAAAAUCCUCAAUAAACACGGGUGGUAAUACUCGAGUAUACCGUUUAGUCGAGGAGAUAUCACUCCACUCGACAAAGCAAGAGACCCAGGGCUCGUUACCCAAUCGACCAAGCCCUUGCCGACCCGACUAGAGUAACUCGCCACAGGGUGUCUGGAAUUCCAGGAAGUGCGCGCAUCAUAACAAGUAUGUCAAGUCAAUUGCAACAAUAAACAAGUGUAUAUCAUGUAAGGGCAAGUGCGAUAAAGUACACUCUUGCCCUAACAAUUCACGCAUGUGACAUGUAAUCAUAUUGGCACGUAUCAAGCACAAGUAUCAAGUUCAAUUCAGUAUUUGAAAGCACUCACCAAAAGAUAUAGUGCUUUUACUGGUCACUUUCAGGUUAUACUCCGAGUUCGGAGUCCAAAUCUGCGAUAAAACUCAAUUUGAGAACUUUGAAACAUGACUAGAGUUCGAAACUUAGACGUUUCGUUCAAUAAGAAUCAAGAAAUUGAAAUUCACUCGGACAGUAGUCAUGAAACACUUGCUCGCUUUUUAAACGAUAAAAUUUUGUAACAUUUAUACUUGAAAUUGUCAUGUGAGUCGAGAGUACAAGGAAAACGUACUUCGAGCAAUCAUUAUUUCAUUUCCCAAGGGUACAAGUUUAGUCAAGUCCUAACGUUUAACACUCAAGAAACAUAAUAGCCAAAGUCCUCGCUAGUUCAAGUAUUAAGUACUUAACCUUCACCCAAGUCGAAAAUAUAGCAUUCUAGCCCUCGAGUAAAAAUUCGGGCAGCAUGCCCUUUGUGUUUACCUAAUUUUCCAGCCAUUUAGGCUUCAUUGUUUUUCUCAAACACAACCCAACAUCAUACAUAUUAGCAAUUUAUGUCAAGAGCCGUUCCAUAGGCUCACAAUAUCGUAAUAACAAGAAUUACAAUGAUAACAAAUGCAGAAAUUCAACUUAGCACAAGACAGAUUUGACGUACGAAUGCGGAAAUAACUUAUCCGAGGCUACGCUUAUCGGAUUAAGACGCAACCUAUGCCGUUUCGAACCUAAGAUACAGAGCUACAAUGUUCAUGAAGGUCACUUAGUCCAGUUUCUAAUGUAACUUGGUCAAAUUCUCGAAUUACUAAACCAGAAACCAAUUCGUCGGCUGUUUAAACGCAGAACACUGUAAUGGUCAUAACUCAGUGUACACAAAUCCGAAUCAGGUGUUCUUAGAGGCAUUUUAAAGAUAAUUCAGAACACUACAACUUUCAUGUUUUGGCCCAGAGCUAAAUCAGAAUGGAUCCUGGUCAAAAAUCGUGAUAAACUAGACUGAACUGAAGAAACGGACUGCUGGGAAAUACUUAAAACAGUAGGGGUAUUUUGGACUUUUCACGUUCUGCGUUGCUCCGAUUGAGCUAAAAUUUUGUAGGCACCUAUAAAAUGCCAUUCUAUACAACUUUUCUUCUUUGACCUAAGGCCAAAUCAGCCUCUAACAUACAGAUAAAAAUUCGGACAGAAUGUUGAGACAAUUUUCCAGAUUUUGGAAUUUUUGAGUUUCUAUUGCAACUUUCCUUAAUUUCUUGGUCCAAUCACUACCAAAACACCAUAUAACACCUCAAUUGCAACAUAUAAGCAUCAUAUAAUAAAUUGGGGCAGAAUUUCCACAAGCCCUAGUUCAUCAAAUAAAUUGGGGAAAACUACUAAAACAUGCUCAUCAUUCAUAAUCUCACCAUAAAAUCAAGUUACUAAGCUUAAUUAAACAAGAUUAGAAGUGAAACUUGGAGAGAUAAACUCUCUUACCUUGAAUAAAAGUCACCAAGAGUAGCACAAGCUCUCCCCUUCAAGAAUCACACCACAACUCACUAGCUAGUCACUAGAAAACAAGUUUAAUCGGUUCACUUCGCUCGAUUCCUCACUUAUUUGUUGGAUUUAGAGAUGAAAUGAAAGAUUUUCCCUUGGAGUUUCUCUUCUUGUUGUUCUAGGCCAGCAGCACCCAAAAUGAAGAAGAAAAAUGCUAAGUGUUGGAGUUAAAUGGUUGGGGUUUGUCUUGGGUAAGAAGCCAUGAGGUGGUGACAAGUGUCACCACCACCACCUCUUUUUUUUUCUCUCUUUCUUUCUUGCCUUUCUUGGCCACUAAUUUCGGUCAACCUUGCUGCAAUUUAAGAAGAUAUUAUGUACAAAAGUCAACAAACUUGUUGGGUAAGAAAAAUGGUGGUCAAGCAGUGCGUUCAAUCGGUAAUACGCGGGACCCGCCGGAUCGCGCCGUUUUUCUUAAAAACUCACGUACUAGGUUUUUCACUUCCCAUUCACUAACCUUAUACCAUUGCCACUAGUCACAUCUUAUUUCUCACUUAAAAGUCACUUUUAAUCCCCAAAUUAAUUCUUACUCUGUACCGAAAAUUCAUCCGGUUAAAAUUCGCGAAAACCCUAAUUUCGCUCCAAACUUGAAACCGAAGCGUAAAACCCUAUUUUCUAGGUUUACUUACACUUAGAGUGAAAUAUUUGGGUAGUGGCCUUUGAUAAAUACUAAUUUUCAAAUAAAAGGGUAUUUUGAGGAAAAAUACGAGGAAUUUGCGAGUCCUCACAGUGGGCUUAUUGGUGCUGGUGGCGGUGAGCUAGUUGAUGUCAAGAUAAUUAAGGGAUUUAGUGUCAAAAACUUUUCGGAUGGAAAGGCAGCCAUCAAAUACUGGUAUGAGCCACUUCUUAAGCUGCCAUAAUUUGGAUUUGGGAUGAGGAGGGCUAGUCUGAUAAGGUACAAGCAAUAUUGGGUUGGUGAUGGGUAACGAAGAUGAUGAUCUCUUGGUAGCUAGAGCAGCUUUUCAAGGGGAUGAAGAAAAGGUUUCUGGUGAACCUACAGCAGAAUUGUUAAGCAAGAAGAAUUGUGGAAGAGUCUCUAAAAACACCUCCACUGGAGGUUGCAGGAUUGGAGUUUCCUGGAGGAGAUUCGGAUCUGUCCUGGGUUCUCAUCAAAACUUGCUCCACCAUGUCCUUAUCUGCACUAGCAGACUAGCUCACCUAGUCCAACAUUCUAAAGCUGCAGCCAUGGCUUUUGUACAAGUAGAACUGGAACCAAAAGCCUAAUAGCAUCAGUAUCAUGCCGUAAGCAUAGACAUAUAAGAAUAGAAGCUUUUGAAGAUUGUUAAAGUUUUGUCUUUUGGAGAUAUCUUGAUAAUAGUAGCAAUAGGAUUGGAGCCGUCAGUGGUGGCAGAUGAGGGAAGAAGAAGAAUAGGAAAAAGAAAAAAAAGAAAAAAAAAAAAAGGAAAGAUGAGGGAGAAGGGAGAAAGGGAGUAAAAUUACCUUUAUGUCCCUAUUUUUUUGGUUUAUAACAAUUACACGUAGACACUGAUGGAGCGUCCCCCCCCCACAUCCUUAAGCUACCGUCAAUUUUUUGGAUUCCGUCACGGAUUUUAUUUAAGUGGGUUAGAUUUUGUAGUUUAGAGACUUAAAUGUCCCAUUUUAAAGUUCAGGGAUUCAAAUGAAAUUCCGUGUAUAGUUUGAGGGGACAAAGUGAAAUUAACCCAAAUAUCAUGUAUUCGAAUUUUACUGUCAACGUGAGAAUAAGGGUGUUGUGUUAGUAAUCUAUCCGUUAAAACCCUUACAAGCGACGCAUGGUCUCGGCAAAUAUAUCUUGAUCAAUAAUGAUGAUUCAAACCGUACCUAUCAAACUUUUUAUUAUUCAAAAAUAAAUAAAGUGCGAAACCAAACGCAGCGUGCAACUUUUGACCAUGACAUCCUCCCGUGGGGCAGUUGACAAUGAUUUAUUUUUUUUUUUUUUUUUGGGUCGGCUGAAACUCAUAACCCACUAAACAAAUUCAACAUUGGCAACUCGAUCGGUUGUCAGGCUGCCUUCUGCAUGUUACAGUUUCUCCAUGUUCAUUUUACUACGUUACAUUCCAAGAAUAAACAUUCUUUACGAGCUCAAAAUGUCAAGCUCAAACUCGAGCUCGAAAAUAAAAAAAUAAUUAUUACUUUUAUUUUUAAAAAUAAAAAAUGAUUAUUUUAUUUUUAAAAAUAAAUAAAAUAAUAAUUUUUUUAAUAAAUAGUAAAAUAUUAAAAAUAUAUAUAUGUAAUUUCAUUAUUAAAAUAAAAAAUAUAUAUAUAAUCAAGCUAACGAGCUAAGGAGUUUAAUGUUUUUGAGCUCGACCUAAUUAGCUCAAGCUCAACUUGAGUUCGAUAUUGACCGAUCUCGAUCACGAGCAUAUCAAUUCGUGAACAGCCCUACUCUGAUACACAUGGGGAAAGAAUUUUCACGUCUUACAUUGAUUUGGAAGUAUACAUGAUACACCCAUUGUGCUAGAUAGGUGAUUAUUCAAAAUUUUCAUAUCCAUACAUAUUUAGUAUCAAUUUUUUUUUUGUAAGAAUUUUCACGGCUUACAUUGAUUUGGAAGUAUACAUGAUACACCCAUUGUGCUAGAUAGGUGAUUAUUCAAAAUUUUCAUAUCCAUACAUAUUUAGUAUCAAUUUUUUUUUUGGUUACCAAGGAGAGCUAAGCAGCUCAAUACAUAGAUACUAUGCGGGGUGGUAACCCCCAUGAUAUCCAAAUUCAUCCAUCUCCAAACUACAUUCGGUGGAUUCUGUAAACAAUACAACCCUGGCUCUUUAUUGAGGCUAUCUUUAGCUAAGAAAUCCGCACUAUUGUUUCCUUCUCGCCAAAUAUGCGAACCACUUACCUCCCAUUCCUUGUGUCUCCACUAAUCAAUUUGUUUUAGCAUAUUAGAGUAAGGGCUCAAUUCAGGUGUCUUGUCCAGAAGCAUAGUUGCAGCUUUUGAGUCUGUUUCUAUAAUCACUCUCUUGUGUCAUAUUUAGUAUCAAUUAUCUUCACUGUCUGCUAUGCUAAUCAGCUGGAUAAUAACAGCAGUGUUUGUGAUGCAAGCAAAAUAGCAGCUUAACUACUACUAGUAUUAAGAAAACAACGAUGAUCUUCAGGCUAACACAAACUAAGAACAGGCAAAAUUAGCUAAGACUACAACAUCGUUAACAGGCAAGCACAGACCAUGGGCCUAAUUAGAUUAGCAGCAUCCACAACACAAACAUAUAGUUCCUAGAUUUUACCUCUAGCCUUCUGGUCCCCUCCCUUGAGCAUAAUUUGACAACCAGAUAUGCGUUCAAUUCCAAAGUGUAAGGGAUAGCCCGAUUGAUCAACCCUCAAGUAAGAUCAUUUCAGCACAUACAGGCAAAGAAGAGCCAUGUCCGUCAAGCAGAGCAGUCUGUUCUUGCCCUUUGCAAUAUUAAACCAAGGAAACUAUAUGAACAGCUUUCCCCAACAAAUCUCAAGCAUGAAAUUUAAUCACUAAUGAACCAACACACAUACUCCUAUAAGGAAUUUGUGUUGUAAGAUAUAAAGGACCCAUAAAAAUGAUACACAUGAAUGCAUUAAUCAAUCUAAACAACCAUCAUCCUGAUGACAUAUAAGGCACAAUAAUAUUUUGUAAGAGAACCAAAAUCUGGUGCCAAUGGACUUGCUUACAGAUAACCAACAAGCAAAAAUAAAAUGGUACUACUAAAUACGAAAAAAGUUGAAAGAUGAUCCCCAUUACUAACAAUAAUGGCAAUUUCCAUUAAUGUUUACCAUAAGCUGCAUGAAAUACGCAGCACAAUAUCAGCUACCAAUCCUUACAUUAAAGACCCCCUUAUACAUACACAAGGGAAGCAACCACAAUUUUUACAGUACAAUACGACCCAGGCGAAGACCAUACUUCGCCUUGAGAAUGCACCAUCUUUCACACUCUUAUGUACAACAAACUGGAAAUUUGGUAUAACCCCAAUUCAAGGAACAAAACACCAAACACAAACAGGUUAUCACUAUCUGAAGUCUGAACUAAACCAGCAUGAAAUUCUUCUCUCUUUUUUUAUUAUUCAUUUUCUAUUUCAGAUAAUUCAAUAGCAGCACUCAGGGCAACGAAUCAAGCCGUUCUCAUUGCACUCCGGGCACCGCUUAAGUUGCUCAUCAUCCUCGUCAAAUAUUUUACGACUUCCGCUACAAUUUGAGCAGGGCACGAACCUGGCAUCCCCACAGCCUUCGCAAAUAUACCCUAACCCAGGCUUUACUGCUCGAAUAGGCAAUCCUUUGAGCAUUUUGGCGAGCUCGCCCGCCUCAUUCAGCUGCCUCACAACAUCAGCUCCACCAAUAUACUUCCCCUUGACAAACACCUGAGGUAAACUCACGGUUUUCUCCCCCAAAACGCUCUGUAAUUCCUUCCUGUACGCGUUGUCCAUGGAAAUAUCCCUCUCGUCUAAAUUUAUGCGAAAGCCCUUGAAGAUCAUCCGAACAGCGCAGCAAUCGGCGUAGGUUCUGCGGAUUCCCCGGAGGCUGGUGAAGUAAAUGACAACUCUGUCCUCGGUACCAGGCAGCCGGAAAUGGGGGGGAUCCAAACUUAAGCUUUUCGCGGGUCUGGAAGAGGAGGACAAUGAUGAUGAGGAUAAGGAUGAUGGCUGGGGUGAUAAACUAGGGGAAGAUUGCGACGGGGGUUUUUCGAAGAGGGAACGAAGCUUCUGAACCUUACCCCUCAACGAGUUUCCCGCCGAAGCCAUUGAGCCAAAAGGGGAACUAUACAACUUCUUGACGGAGCCGGUGCGUUCGAGAGGGAGGAGGGGGGUUUUGGUAAAUUCGUACGCUGGGUUUGGGUUGUGCAGCGUUAAGGAUCGGUUGAAUCUGGAGGUAGCUUUAGGAUUUUCAGAGAAAUCAUAUUUCUGAUCAUCAUUGUUGAGAAAGGCCAUAACUACCGAUUGGAAAUGAUGCUCCUUUUUUUUUUUGGGCCUCAAAAGAUAUUAGGGUUCUUCUUUACUAAAUUUUACCCCAAAAAUAAAAAAAAAAAAGGGCAAAGAUCGAUGAUAUCGAUCGCUAAUCGAGAAAAUUUAAGAAAGAAAGAAAGAAAAAAACAAAAGAAUGAUAUAAGACCAACCAAGGUCGGAUUGUUGCUGGAGAAAGGCGGAGGAGGAGGUGAGAGGUGAGAGGUGGCGGAGAUGGGCGGUGUUUGAUGUUUUUUCAGCUUUCGGUCUAUUUGUUGGUGAAAUGAUGGAAGGUAGAGAAAAGGUGUACUUUUCUGAAAGAGGCGUGGAAACAAAGUAAUUCUAUAGAUACAGAAAUUAAAAUAAAAAUGAAAAAAUCGAUUACUUUUCCAAGAUGGAAACAUAAUACAUUCCACUGCAGACAAUUGACCCAUUCGGGCCACAUGCAUUAUGUAUCCGAAUCGUCUCGUGCAGACAAGUCCGGUAAUAAGGAGGCUGUUGGUGAGUUGGCUUUAACAAGUCCGAACUCGGCCCAUUUAGUACUUGACCUUUUAAAAAAAAAAAACCACAUAGGGAGAGUCGCCCGUAAGAUUUAUGAGCCCAAUGUAUCCCAUCAAGACUCGCAACGGUUGAGUACAGUCCAAGCUCACAAAAAGUAGGAUUAUUUCAGAUGGAGACAAUUUCAGAUUAGGAUUACAAAAAUAAAUGUCAAUGCGAGAAAGACCAAGGGGAAACACAAACUCGAAUUGGAAACAGGCAAAUUUGUGAAGGGAUUUAUUUUUUAGGUAAAGCAAAAUAGCUUCUUCUUUCAUCAGUACAAUUAGUACUGCUAUAGAUCUUCACCAAAUUGGCAAGAAACACAACCAAUAUUUUUUACGUUUUAUUAAAGGAGUUUGGAGAUUUUCUAAUGAAAUUUUCAGUGACAAACUUUCGUUCCGCGCGAAUACAAUAUAUAUAUAUAUAUCAAGUAAUUGGCUUCAUGAUGUUCUUAAGAUAAGUUCCCCCAUUAAAUCCCCACAAUGACCAGACCGAGAAAAAAUAAAGAGAAAAAGGAGUACAGCUUUAGAGAAAUUGAAAAAGAUUGUUUUUCUAUCCUUUGUUUUUCGAUAUCAGAGAAUAGUACAAUACAUUUUCUUAUAAACUAAAAAAAAGGAGAGAUAGAGAGAGGGAGACGAAGAACUGAAUAAGCAUCUACGAUCAACUACCUGAUUGUAUUCAGCAGCCAUAGAGAAUUUAGGCUCAAUAAUUGAUUCAUCAAGAAAUUUCGCAGCUGAGUUACCACCCAAGGCUGAAUUCAUUCUCUGCGGAAUGUUCAAUUCCACAGAGGGCCUCUAAUUAUUACAAACUUGAGCUAGUAAAUAGGCAUCAAAGAUGCAAGUGAGACGAUCAUAACAGAUUUCCACAAGACAGAAGAUGGCAUGCGACCCUUGUCAGUGCGGAAGAAGAGUGCUUGGUA